AUUGAACGCUGGCGGAAUGCUUUACACAUGCAAGUCGAGCGGCAGCACGGGGGCAACCCUGGUGGCGAGCGGCGAACGGGUGAGUAAUACAUCGGAACAUGCCCAGUCGUGGGGGAUAACACUUCGAAAGAAGUGCUAAUACCGCAUACGUCCUGAGGGGGAAAGCGGGGGAUCGCAAGACCUCGCGCGAUUGGAGUGGCCGAUGUCAGAUUAGCUAGUUGGUGGGGUAAAGGCCUACCAAGGCAACGAUCUGUAGCUGGUCUGAGAGGAUGAUCAGCCACACUGGGACUGAGACACGGCCCAGACUCCUACGGGAGGCAGCAGUGGGGAAUUUUAGACAAUGGGGGCAACCCUGAUCCAGCCAUUCCGCGUGAGUGAAGAAGGCCUUCGGGUUGUAAAGCUCUUUCGGCAGGAACGAAACGGUGAGCUCUAACAUAGCUUGCUAAUGACGGUACCUGAAGAAGAAGCACCGGCUAACUACGUG
rnacentral:rRNA from 1 species